AGGGCGCAUGAAGGAUGCCUUGGCUCUUAGAGGCGAUGAAGGACGUGGUAAGCUGCGAUAAGCUGCGGGGAUCAGCCAACAUGAAUUGAUCCGCAGAUUUCCGAAUGGAAUAAUCCACCUGCUUGCAGGUAUCUCGUCGCAGUUCGUCUGCUUGAGAGGCUAACCCGGGGAACUGAAACAUCUAAGUACCCGGAGGAAAAGAAAACAAUUGUGAUUCCGUAAGUAGUGGCGAGCGAACGCGGAUUAGCCCAAACCAGUAGUAGCUUAGGUUAUGCUGGGGUUGUAGGGUUGGCGAUAUGUCAUUGAUGUAUGAACUAAAAUUUUCUGGAAAGAAAAGCCAAAGAGGGUGAUAGUCCCGUAUAGGUAAAGAAGUCAGGCUAGUCAAUACCUGAGUAUGUCGAGGCUGGAGAAACUUCGAUUGAAUCUGCCGGCACCAUCCGGUAAGGCUAAAUACUCCUAAGAGACCGAUAGUGAACUAGUACCGUGAGGGAAAGGUGAAAAGUACUCUGAAAAAGAGGGUGAAAUAGAACUGAAAUCAUGCGCUUGCAAGCGGUCGGAGUCCUUUUGUGGGAUGACGGCGUGCCUUUUGCAUAAUGAGCCUACGAGUUAACUUUUCUGGCAAGGUUAAAUCUUUUAAGGGAUGGAGCCGAAGCGAAAGCGAGCCUUAACUGGGCGUUUAGUCAGAGGAGUUAGACGCGAAACCUGAUGAUCUACCCAUGGCCAGGUUGAAGCAGCGCUAAUCCGCUGUGGAGGACCGAACUAGUGAAUGUUGCAACAUUCUUGGAUGAGCUGUGGGUAGGGGUGAAAGGCUAAUCAAAUUGGGAGAUAGCUCGUACUCUCCGAAAUGCUUUUAGGAGCAGCCUCAGUUGUAUAUUCAAGUAGGUAGAGCUACCGAUAGAAUGUUGAGGGCCCUCAAAGCCUAUCACAUUCUGACGAACUCCGAAUGAUUUGAAUUUUGACUGGGAGUGAGGGCUGGGGUGCUAAGGUCACAGUCCGAGAGGGAAACAACCCAGACCAUCAGCUAAGGCCCCAAAGUGUAUACUAAGUUGAACUAAGAAGAUCUGAUUGCAUAAACAGCCAGGAUGUAGGCUUGGAAGCAGCCAUUCAUUUAAAGAGUGCGUAACAGCUCACUGGUCAAGCGAUUGGGUGUCUAUAAUAAUCGGGCAUUAAGUAUAUCGCCGAAGCUAUGGGCACAAUAAUGUGCGGUAGGAGAGCAUUCUGGGUGAGCAGAAGCAUAAAAGACAAUUUUGUGUGGAUCGCCCAGAAAAGCAGAUGUAGGCAUAAGUAACGAUAAUGGUAGUGAAAAACUACCACACCGAAAAUCCAAGGUUUUCAUUGGCUAUGGUAGUCAGCCGUGAGUUAGUCGGGCCCUAAGUUGAAGCCGAAAGGCGUAGACGAUGGAAAAUCGGUUAAUAUUCCGAUACUUUUUGAAAAUAGAAAUGGGGGGACAGAGAAGUGAAAGGUUUGCCUUGUAACCAAUUGCAAGGUUAAAGCGUGUAGAUAUAGGGCUGUAGGAAAAUCCGCAGCUUUGUCGAACGUGAUAGUACUGAAUGUUGCUUGCAGCAUUUAGAUAAUGACCCUAAUCAGGCUCUCAAGAAAAGCCUCUAAUCGUUAAGUUUCAAAAAUCCGUACCGUAAACCGACACAGGUGGGUGAGGAGAGAAUCCUAAGGUGGACGAGUGAUUCGUGGCUAAGGAACUCGGCAAAUUGACUCUGUAACUUCGGGAGAAAGAGUGCCUAGCUAAACUUAGUUUAGAAGGUCGCAGUGAAGAGGCCCAGGCGACUGUUUACCAAAAACACAGGGCUUUGCUAAGUCGAAAGACAAUGUAUAAGGCCUGAUACCUGCCCGGUGCUGGAAGGUUAAAAGGAGAGGUUAGGCGCAAGCCGAAGCUUUGAAUUGAAGCCCCAGUAAACGGCGGCCGUAACCUUGACGGUCCUAAGGUAGCGAAAUUCCUUGUCGGGUAAGUUCCGACCUGCACGAAUGGUUUAACGAUCUGGGCACUGUCUCGGCCACGAGCUCGGUGAAAUUGUAGUAGCGGUGAAGAUGCCGCUUACCCGCAGCGGGACGGAAAGACCCCAUGAACCUUUACUAUAACUUCAGUAUUGAAAAUGUGUAUGUGUUGUGCAGUAUAGGUGGGAGGCUGUGAAGCUUUGGCGCCAGCUAGAGCAGAGCCGUCAGUGAGAUACCACCCUGCAUUUAUAUGUUUUCUAACCCUAGAAAGGGGACAGUGCUAGGCGGGUAGUUUGACUGGGGUGGUCGCCUCCAAAAAAGUAACGGAGGCUUUCAAAGGUACCCUCAACACGGAUGGUCAUCGUGUGUAGAGCGCAAUAGCAUAAGGGUGCUUGACUGUGAGACAGACAAGUCGAGCAGGGUCGAAAGACGGAUAUAGUGAUCCGGUGGUUCUGAAUGGAAAGGCCAUCGCUCAAAGGAUAAAAGGUACUCUGGGGAUAACAGAGAUCGGAAGAGCGUCGUGGAGGGAAAGAGUGUAGG
rnacentral:rRNA from 1 species